UGGAAACAGUUGUGGAGUUGUGAGAUGUAUGUAGCUGAACUGAAGGACAACUAUUAUUGAAGAAAGUGCACAGGUGUUAAAACAGAAUGUUGUUCUGUUCACAACAAAUGUCAAAGAGGAUGUCUGAUAUGGUGCACAGGUGUUGAUGUUGAAGCAGAUGUCAGAAUGACAUUAUGGCUGGUACAGGUACUGUGGUUACAGUAGCUGUUAUGUUCAUGGAAGAUGUUUGAUGUGUGCAUAGAUUUAGGGGGAGAAGAAGUACCCUUGUGCAUCUGUGUGUUUACUAGUUGCAUCCAUAACUAG
rnacentral:lncRNA from 1 species